rnacentral:piRNA from 1 species
UCAUAUCACACUGGUUAAAACAGCUA